CAUAUUUUCCGCCGAGGUCUGAAACUGAUGCCUUUAAUCGAAACCUGGCGUCACAAAUCAAGCAAACCUUUGACAGUGUCAUUAAGAACGGCCGCUUGUCAGCUAUACUUCAUGUCGGCUAGACAUAUCGCUUGGUAUCAACCGAACUUACGAAAAUUGGAACUCUCCGAGGACGAGUUUCCACAGCUCGGGGCAAACUGACCAUAUCGACCCUUCAAGAAUCUACUUUCGCGAGAUGCAGUUUGAGGGUUUUAUUUGCACAAGCAGAGGCCGAAUUUACAUUUAAAUUUUAAUGAAAAUAAUUUCAAAUAAUUUCAUUGUCUAGAGUUAACAUUAAAAUAUUGUUACCUUUAUAACACAAAAAAGAAGGAGCUGGAUCGACGUUGAAGCGAGUGCCUGCACUCAGAUUCAGAUAUUAAUAAAAAAACGCCAAAUUAAUAAAUAAA